CUCCCACCUCCACGGCGCGCUCCCCCCACCUCCCCUGGUGUUAACCGCACUGGCCACCACCCGCGCCGGCACGCCACCACCGGCGCCUUCUUCCCGCGUGCUGCCAGCGGCAUGGAGGCGCGCCGCCGGAGCACCUAGGCCCCGGCGUCGAAUCCGGGCGGCAGCGCGCCGCCGCGCCUCUGUUUCCUCGAUCUACGUGGCCUCCCGCGUACAAGCUCUCGACCAGGAUCCCGCGCUCACCGCCGGCGAACACACCUCCGGUCCACCCCGCCAACCAGCGCUGAACUCCUGCAACCCCGCCAUGCCCGCGACCUUCCUCCCCUUGCCGGCGAGCCUCCCUCCCUCGGCCACCUCCUAGCAUGAGCCGGCGCCGGAUCCAGGCCGCAGCUGGGAUCCACUUCGCCCCCGCACUCCACCGCGCGGCCCCAGCAGCGCCGCCCGAACAUGCCCCGCACUCCACUGCGCGGCCCCAGGUGCGCCGACCGAGCGACGGAUUCGGCCCCGCCACGGCGCCCAGGCGACGGAUCCCUCUUGGAUCACGUCGGAUCCAGGAACUGCUGCUCCAGUGGCUUGCGGGCGAGGAGGCGCGCAGAAGGGGUCGGGGCUACCGUCCCUCACCUCUCUUGCAGUCCACCGUCGUCGUCAGACAUGUGCGAUUACCUGAUGUGUCGAUCGAGGGGACUCCCCUGGCCUCCUCCUUUCCUUGUCAUCGCACGCGCAUGCCACCGCCACACCAGCCCAGGUUCCCCCCUCCUAUCCUCUCCCUGUUGUUCUCCGAUGAGGGCGAGUAGCGGAGCCUACCUGACGUAGGUCGAUUGGGUCAUCCUCUCUGGCUUGAGCAGCCCAAUGCCAUUGCUGGAGCAGUACACAGCAGCAGGUGUGUGCAGCCACCAUCGACUUCCCGCGGGGAAGAGAUCCCUCGGCCAUGCCACAUCCGCCCCUGGGAUUCAGUUCGCCAGAGCACCCCUCGCAGCUCUCUCUCUUCGCAGGAGAACUAUGGCAGUGUGUCGGCUUGCAGUCCGGUCGUGAGUUCAGUGCAGCACAGACGGCGAUGCCGUGUAGUUUGCCAUCCAAAUCCCAUCCAGGGUUGUUGCUAUUCAGAAACAUUUUCUUGUGUUUUCAGAAAAUUUGAUGAGUUGUUUUGGAUGCAGUGCAAUUCAGAAGCUUCUGUGCAGUCUGGUGACCACGGACGUGCGGCUCGCUAGCAUUAGAUGCGCUUCAGUGCUCCUGUGGGUGCAGUUCAUGAGCGCGCCGGCGACGACGGCAGCAAUGCAGUGCACUCUAGUAGUUGCCGUGGUGCACUCUGGUGGUCGUUGUGGUACAGCUCAGUGGCUGGCCAGUUCCCUGGUCGUGCAGCUUGGUGACGCGCCAGGUGCAGUCAGCUGAGCGACACUCUUCUCCAAGCAAGAAGAGGAGGGCGAUCUUGGUUCCCUGUCCCUGUGCAGUACAGGCGAUGCGCCUGUGCGGUGCGGAGCACAUGUGCAAGUCCGUCGGCCAUGCGUGUAGUACAGGUCGCAUAGUGGUGUAGUUCGCCGCUGAACCCCUGUUGUAGUUUUAUGGCGCCCUGCGUGUGUGUGAUGCAGUUUGGCGUCUCCCUCGGGUGGACGCAUAGCUGCACUCCAGAUCGCUCAGUACUGCAACUCUUUCCUUCCUUUUUUUACUUAUUUUUUCUACGAAAGAAAGUGGUGCAGUUCGGUUGGAUGUCCCAUUGGAGUUUGACCUUGUGCCAUUUCAGAUCAUAUUGUGCAGUGCGACAUGAGUUUCUCUGCUUGGGGUGCUCCGGGUACUUCAGUUGGGCUACUCGAAGAUAAAAAAUUAUGUGUACAGUAUAUAGUUGUAUGGCUGUGUAAAAAAUAUGAAUUUGUGUGUUGAGCAUUCUGAA